rnacentral:rRNA from 1 species
AAUUCGAUUGAGUUUGAUCAUGGCUCAGGAUGAACGCUGGCGGCGUGCUUAACACAUGCAAGUCGAACGAUGAUCCCCACUUGUGGGGGGAUUAGUGGCGAACGGGUGAGUAACACGUGAGUAACCUGCCCUUGACUCUGGGAUAAGCCUGGGAAACCGGGUCUAAUACCGGAUAUGACUUCCUGCCGCAUGGUGGGGGGUGGAAAGCUUUUUUGUGGUUUUGGAUGGACUCGCGGCCUAUCAGCUUGUUGGUGAGGUAAUGGCUCACCAAGGCGACGACGGGUAGCCGGCCUGAGAGGGUGACCGGCCACACUGGGACUGAGACACGGCCCAGACUCCUACGGGAGGCAGCAGUGGGGAAUAUUGCACAAUGGGCGCAAGCCUGAUGCAGCGACGCCGCGUGAGGGAUGACGGCCUUCGGGUUGUAAACCUCUUUCAGUAGGGAAGAAGCGAAAGUGACGGUACCUGCAGAAGAAGCGCCGGCUAACUACGUGCCAGCAGCCGCGGUAAUACGUAGGGCGCAAGCGUUAUCCGGAAUUAUUGGGCGUAAAGAGCUCGUAGGCGGUUUGUCGCGUCUGCCGUGAAAGUCCGGGGCUCAACCCCGGAUCUGCGGUGGGUACGGGCAGACUAGAGUGAUGUAGGGGAGACUGGAAUUCCUGGUGUAGCGGUGAAAUGCGCAGA